rnacentral:rRNA from 1 species
AACGAACGCUGGCGGCAUGCCUAACACAUGCAAGUCGAACGAGACCUUCGGGUCUAGUGGCGCACGGGUGCGUAACGCGUGGGAACCUGCCCUUAGGUUCGGAAUAACUCCCCGAAAGGGGUGCUAAUACCGGACAAAUUCUUCGGACCAAAGAUUUCUCGGCUUUGGAUGGGCCCGAGUUGGAUUAGCUAGUUGGUGGGGUAAAAGCCAUCCAAGGCGACGAUCCAUAGUUGGUUUGAGAGGAUGAACAGCCACACUGGGACUGGGACCCGGCCCAGACUCCUACGGGAGGCAGCAGUGGGGAAUAUUGGACAAUGGGCGAGAGGCUGAUCCAGCAAGGCCGCGUGAGUGAUGAAGGCCUUAGGGUUGUAAAUCACUUUUACCCGAGAUGAUAGUGACAGUACCUGGAGAAUAAGCGCCGGCUAACUCCGUG